GCUAAUGCAGAGAAGGACUCAUCUGCUGUAGCAAGAGCCAAUGCAGAGGAUCCGACCUCUCCCACCUCUCCUCUUGCUUGUGGAUGGCUAUCCUCCCACCGGAUCUGAACAUCCCUAGCUUGGAGGCUCAUGAUCUAGCCACCAAAUCCCGCCACCGCAGGAGGCCGCCCUAGCCACUGCCAUGAAGUGGAGCGGCUGCUUCGACCUUACCCCCGACAAGGCGCGAUGGUAGCGGCAAUAGCCAUGGAGCUCGAAAGGUGCCACCUCCACGCUGACGGAAGCGGCUUUCCCUUCCCAGUCAUUGGAGCGCAAUGGAGCUCAACAUGCUAAAAUCUCAGGACGCCUUUGGGACUAUGCUCUGUCAUUUAUGAUUCAAGGUGAAACCGGGUGAUUCUCCGAGGACAAGAUUGCUGAUUUUAGUGAAAUAUUCAAGGCAAUAGAAUGCAAAAAUAUUCAAGGAAUGCCGAUCUCCCUCCCCACUCGUUUCCUCCACAAAUUGAAUGCAAAAAUAGGUUCCUAUCCUCCUCCUCAUCAAUUCCCCCACGUUUUGCCCUCUUAAUUCGUCCUUUAAUCAUCAAAUUUAGUCUCCAAUGAACUGCCGCCAUUGAUGGCAGCCCGGCGAACUCUCCGGCCGUUCUCCUCCUCUCCCCGGCCAUCCGCCUCCUCCACCCCGGCCUAUAAAAAGGAGUACCGACCCCCCCCUCUCUCCCCACACUGCAGCCCUCCCCCUCCUCUCUCCCUAGCUGCCGCGUUGCCUUCUUCUCGUGUCGUCGCUGCUGUGCAACUCCGGCCGCCCCUCGCCGACAGUUGGGACCUCCUCGGAGCCCAGCAUCGCCACCAUCCGCUUCGCAGCAACCUCCUCUUCCCCAGCCUCGCCUCCGUUUCUCCUGGAGACCGCCGGAAGCUCGUCCUCGCUGGUGAGCAGUGGUGACGUCGCCUUCAUCCUCGUCCUCCGGCAGCCCUCCCUCCUCGCUGGAGGAUUGCCUCACUGCGCUGUCAAUGCUGUUGGCGUCAUCUCGUUGUCUUCAUCAUCGGUCGUGCCUCCUCGCUGCCCAAAGACUCCCGUAGCGCCGCCCCGUUGCUAUUGCCUCCCUCCUGUCGUCGUUCCCGUCAAGACGAAGUGCCGCCUGUCGUCGGUGUCAAGUCCGCAGCGCCAAGCCCGUCGUUGUCCGCCUUUUCACCAAGCUCGAGGAUUGCUGGAGCCGUCCCCUCGUCGUUGACCCGUUCCUCUCUGUCGCCCUUCGUCGCCGCGCCAAGGUUUUCGCCGGUCGCCACCGUUGUUCCCUUGCCGCGUUGUGUCCAUGGUGAGAACCUCUUCCGUCGCUACCCUAUCCUCGUCCUCCCCGUGUGGUCGCCGCGUGGAUUGCCCACGUGUGCAGCUCACGUGGUAGUCCCGGCUGCCAAUCGCUCGAUCCUUUCUUUCUUCGAGCGAUAUUUCAUUGCACAUAAUUUAAUAGUAUAAUAAUAAUAAUAAUUAAACAACUCGAAAAUAUCCACUUUAAUUGCACUUAAAAUUCGGAUGGUCGUUUCUCGGCCAUACGAGCUCCUAAUUGACCCGUCGAAAUUGUUUAAUUUUUGUUAUAGCUUGAAGAACCCGUGUUUGUUAUUUUUAUAUGUUGUUAUCGUUUCUUUCUUAGAUUUGUAGCCCUGUUUUGUUGAUCGUGUAGCUGUCGUCAUUUCGGAAGUUUCUGAAGUGCAGAUCAAGUCAUCUAAAGACCUUCUCUUUGAGCAAGGCAAGUCAUGCCAUAUUCCUUGAACAUAGUGAAUCCCAUUAUUGCAAAAACUACGUUGUUUCACUUCUAUAUGAAUCGCUUUUAUAAA